rnacentral:rRNA from 1 species
GCAGUCGAGCGGACAGAUGGGAGCUUGCUCCCUGAUGUUAGCGGCGGACGGGUGAGUAACACGUGGGUAACCUGCCUGUAAGACUGGGAUAACUCCGGGAAACCGGGGCUAAUACCGGAUGGUUGUUUGAACCGCAUGGUUCAGACAUAAAAGGUGGCUUCGGCUACCACUUACAGAUGGACCCGCGGCGCAUUAGCUAGUUGGUGAGGUAACGGCUCACCAAGGCGACGAUGCGUAGCCGACCUGAGAGGGUGAUCGGCCACACUGGGACUGAGACACGGCCCAGACUCCUACGGGAGGCAGCAGUAGGGAAUCUUCCGCAAUGGACGAAAGUCUGACGGAGCAACGCCGCGUGAGUGAUGAAGGUUUUCGGAUCGUAAAGCUCUGUUGUUAGGGAAGAACAAGUGCCGUUCAAAUAGGGCGGCACCUUGACGGUACCUAACCAGAAAGCCACGGCUAACUACGUGCCAGCAGCCGCGGUAAUACGUAGGUGGCAAGCGUUGUCCGGAAUUAUUGGGCGUAAAGGGCUCGCAGGCGGUUUCUUAAGUCUGAUGUGAAAGCCCCCGGCUCAACCGGGGAGGGUCAUUGGAAACUGGGGAACUUGAGUGCAGAAGAGGAGAGUGGAAUUCCACGUGUAGCGGUGAAAUGCGUAGAGAUGUGGAGGAACACCAGUGGCGAAGGCGACUCUCUGGUCUGUAACUGACGCUGAGGAGCGAAAGCGUGGGGAGCGAACAGGAUUAGAUACCCUGGUAGUCCACGCCGUAAACGAUGAGUGCUAAGUGUUAGGGGGUUUCCGCCCCUUAGUGCUGCAGCUAACGCAUUAAGCACUCCGCCUGGGG